AUGGCGGCCGUGGUUGCGCUUCUGCCUUGGCUAGCAUGGCUUGCCGUCGCUUUCCUCUCUUUCUACCUUCUCAACCUCCUCGCGCACGCGCGCUCCGGCCUACCGCCGGCCCCCCGCCCACUGCCGCUCAUCGGCAGCCUCCACCUCCUCAGCGACAAGCCGCACCGCUCACUCGCCCGCCUAGCCAAGAUCCACGGCCCGCUCAUGUCCAUCCGCCUCGGCGUGGUCACCACGGUGGUCGUCUCCUCCCCUGCCAUGGCCCGGGAGUUCCUCCAGAGGCAUGACUUGUCGGACUUGUCGGACUUCUUCCCGGUGCUCGCGCCGGCCGACCUGCAGGGCAUGCGUCGGCGGCUGGCGCGGCUGUUCGCGCGGCUGCAUGCCGUGUUCGACGCCGAGGUGGACCAGAGGCUGCACGGCCGCGACGCCGGCCAGCCCAGGAAGAACGACUUCCUGGACGUGCUGCUCGACGUGGCAGCGCGUGAGGAUGGCAAGAACCUGCUCGACUGA
rnacentral:rRNA from 1 species